CUGAGAAAAAAGAUGUUUUAACUGGUGACUAAAGACUAAAGGUGAAAUUUCAUAGGAUUAAGUAGCUUUUGAUGGCUAGCAGACCUGGUUGCACCCACUCCUCAUCAAGGCUUCACUCGGUUGGAUAUUUUGUAUUUUCUUUUUAUUUUAGAUCUCGUUUGACACGAAUCCACUUCACUAGUAAAAAAGUUUUUUUUUAUCUUAAACUCUAUUAACAAGUUUGACUAAAAUCAUAGAAAUUUUUUAAAAAAAUUAUGACAUCA
rnacentral:lncRNA from 1 species